rnacentral:rRNA from 1 species
UAGUAACUGCGAGUGAAGAGGGAAAAGCUCAAAUUUAAAAUCUGGCAGUUUCACUGUCCCGAGUUGUAAUUUAAAAAAGUGUUACCCGCGCUGGACCGUGUAUAAUUCUCCGGGGAUGGAGCGUCAUAAAGGGUGAAAAUCCCGUCUUUGACACGGACUACCAGGGCAUUGGGGUGCGCUCUCAAAAAGUCAAGUUGUUUGGGAAUGCAGCUCUAAAUGGGUGGUAAAUUCCAUCUAAAGCUAAAUAUUGGCAAGAAACCGAUAGCGAACAAUUACCGUGAGGGAAAAAUGAAAAAAACUUUGGAAAAAAAGUUAAACAGUACGUGAAAUUGCUGAAAGGGAAACGCUUGAAGUCAUUCCCGUUGUCCGGGGAUCACCCUUGCUUUUGUGAGGUGUAUUUCCUGGUCAACGGGUCACCAUCAUUUUCAAUCGUUGGAAAAAGGCUUGGGGAAUGUGGCACCUUCGGGUGUGUUAUAGCCCUUUGUCGUAUACAGCGGUUGGGACUGAGGAACUCAGCACGCCGCAAGGCCGGGUUUCAACCACGUUCUUGCUUAGGAUGCUGGCAAAAUGGCUUUAACCGACCCGUCUUGAAACACGGACCAAGGAGUCUAACAUGCUUGCAAGUGUUUGGGUGGAAAACCCAAGCGCGUAAUGAAAUUGAAAGUUGGGAUCUCUGUCUUGAAGAGCACCGACCCCCGGACCUGAUGUUUACUGACGGAUCUGCGGUAGAGCACGUAUGUUGGGACCCGAAAAAUGGUGAACUAUGC